AUGAGAGACUCGUGAAAUUUUGAAAAUAUGACAUGCAUCUUCUUUUCACAUUGUAAUUGUAUUUGUACACUAAAAUUAAACAACUUGGAAGCCCUAAGAGACUGAUUUGAAGGAUAUGGUAUUUUCUUUGUUCAAUAUUAGUUGGUUAUUGGCCUAAAUAAUUCGAAUUCUCGCCCCCGCUAAGGGAAUGGGAAAGCAGUCUCUUCUGAUUAAGGAUGGAGGAAUUCUAAAAUCUGAAAUUGACGGUUGUUACAUUAGUUCAUUUUGUGGAUGAAAGCUAGCACAACAAAAAACAGAGUUUUGAAUCCUUCAACUAAUUCAAAGUUGCCUGCGUUGUACGACAUUGUUAAAUUGUUGUAUUCUAGAGGGACAAAUCAAGAGAUAUAAUAUUGGAUCAUUGUACAUCAUGUCACGGCGAAUUUGAAUCUCCUUAAAGAUGAUGAGAUAUUUGUGUCUCAGCCUGAAUGAUAAUUUAUUCAUUUA